CCCAGAUGGGAUUAGCUAGUAGGUGGGGUAACGGCUCACCUAGGCGACGAUCCCUAGCUGGUCUGAGAGGAUGACCAGCCACACUGGAACUGAGACACGGUCCAGACUCCUACGGGAGGCAGCAGUGGGGAAUAUUGCACAAUGGGCGCAAGCCUGAUGCAGCCAUGCCGCGUGUAUGAAGAAGGCCUUCGGGUUGUAAAGUACUUUCAGCGGGGAGGAA
rnacentral:rRNA from 1 species